AGCGAACGCUGGCGGCAGGCCUAACACAUGCAAGUCGAACGAACUCUUCGGAGUUAGUGGCGGACGGGUGAGUAACACGUGGGAACGUGCCUUUAGGUUCGGAAUAACUCAGGGAAACUUGUGCUAAUACCGAAUGUGCCCUUCGGGGGAAAGAUUCAUCGCCUUUAGAGCGGCCCGCGUCUGAUUAGCUAGUUGGUGAGGUAAAGGCUCACCAAGGCGACGAUCAGUAGCUGGUCUGAGAGGAUGAUCAGCCACAUUGGGACUGAGACACGGCCCAAACUCCUACGGGAGGCAGCAGUGGGGAAUCUUGCGCAAUGGGCGAAAGCCUGACGCAGCCAUGCCGCGUGAAUGAUGAAGGUCUUAGGAUUGUAAAAUUCUUUCACCGGGGACGAUAAUGACGGUACCCGGAGAAGAAGCCCCGGCUAACUUCGUG
rnacentral:rRNA from 1 species